rfam:Ophiophagus hannah scaffold9994.1, whole genome shotgun sequence.
UAAAUGGUCCUUUUCAGGGCCACAAACAAUAAAAAAAGCCUUAAN